ensembl:misc_RNA Y_RNA Y RNA
CACUGGUCCCAGUGCAGUGGUGUUUACAACUAAAGGAUAAUAACCAGUUACAGAUUCCUUUAUUCCUUCUCCACUUCCACUGCUUCACUUGACUAGCCUAAA